GAUGAACGCUGGCGGCGUGCCUAAUACAUGCAAGUCGAGCGAACGGACGAGAAGCUUGCUUCUCUGAUGUUAGCGGCGGACGGGUGAGUAACACGUGGAUAACCUACCUAUAAGACUGGGAUAACUUCGGGAAACCGGAGCUAAUACCGGAUAAUAUUUUGAACCGCAGGGUUCAAAAGUGAAAGACGGUCUUGCUGUCACUUAUAGAUGGAUCCGCGCUGCAUUAGCUAGUUGGUCAGGUAACGGCUUACCAAGGCAACGAUGCAUAGCCGACGUGAGAGAGUGGUCGGCCGCACUGGAAGUGGGACACCGUCCAGAGUACUACGAGAGGCAGCAGUCGGGAACGGUCCGCAGUGGGCGAGAACCUGACGCAGCGACGGCACGUGAGUGAUGAAAGUCCUGGGAGCGUAAAGAUGUGUUACUAGGGAAAAACCGCUGUCUAAGGAAAUGUGGCGAUCGUGACGGUACCUAGUAAGAAAGCACCGGCUAACUACGUG
rnacentral:rRNA from 1 species